AUGGCCCUGCUUGGCGCCUCGUCCCCCGCCGGGUUCGUGAGCAGCCUCGCGCCCGACCCAUCCUGCCUACACGCACACCGCCGCAGUCCUGCAUGGCGGAGAUAUGUACAGUCCCGAGCUACAACACACACUUCGCCUCCCUCGUCGCCGACCGCUACUGCGUCGUGGCCACUGCAACGAUCCUAUUCGGCCCCAACAACAUGUCCAAGCUCGACCGAGAGCGCGUUUCAGCACGCCCCGUCAACGAGCAGGAAGCAAAGUUUGUUGCACAAUGUCAUGAGGCAUAGCGGAGUGGUGACCUUCGCUUCACCAAGGGCUUCUCUGCGGCCAUCGAGGGCCAGCCUAUAG
rnacentral:rRNA from 1 species